AUGCACAUGAGGAUAUUUUGCCUCUUGGCUUCUUAGGAUCUCCUUUAUCUCCACAGGCAGAGUCGACCAGUGGCGGUUUGGCUCUAGCUCGCGCCAGCGCUGUUUCUAAGGAGCUCAAUCUUAUUGCAACAUUAUUUUCUUUCUAAAAGCUGAAAUCUAGUGAGGACCUAGGAUGGCUGGAAUGAAAGUAUAACAGGAUAGAAGGAAGCUGUAACAUCAAAGUCCGGAAGUUUUCUUUUUUUAUUGGAUAUUUUCUUUUCUUUACAUUUCUUUUUUAUAGCCAUGGCAAUAUUUAUUUGUUUCUUUUCAACCAGACUCGGUAUGUGUGAUGAUGAGUCUUUCAACUUGACACAAUGAAGAAUCCCCUGGGAAGAGUCUCAAUGAGGAAUUGUCUACAUUGUGCCACUUUUCCUACUAACUCCGAUGAAGAGUCUUCCUUUCACGCUCUUGUGCCUGAAAUCGACCUGACUAAAGGACACACGGUAUGUGGCAUAUAUAGAUGGUCCCCAAAAGCUGUUCAUAACAUCUCUUAUGCCUUAAAAAAAUCAGAUUUCUUUA